GGCCUGCCCCCCCCACGGUAGGAUGGCACAUCCCGAGCCUUUAUAAGCGGCGGCAACGGUUCUUCCCGCCCUUUCUCCUCGUGCGCCCGGUGGCGGUGGGGUCUUGUGUGGAAGGUGCUCGGCAGGGCUGAGGUGAGGGCUUCCACCCCCGGGCAGCGGUGAUGCACGCCGUUCCUCCUCGCCCCCCAGGGGCUACAGGCGGCAGUUGAGGGAUGUAAAGGCGACUGGGUCUCGCUCAUCCCGUCCCCGCAGGCCCUCAUGGAGGCGGAUGGGGGCCCAGGGCCCCGCUCGGAGUGCUCUGGCAGCUGCGCCGCGGUCCGAACUGAGAACCUGGGAUUUCCAGGUGAUGUGAUACAAUAAGGAUUGGGAGCAGGCAUCUCUGGAGAUGGCCGUAAUGUGAAGCCCUUCACACGGCCCUGGGACAGAAGUGAGACUGGAAGAGCAAGAGUUUGAAGAGUUUGUUGUGGGUGUUGAUGCUGAAAGCACGUUUGUUUGAGGAAGAAGGAACCCAAUGGAACAUGAGUGAGCUUGGCAGCUGAUCUUUGAAAACACCGCCUGUUUUUCUAUGUGUGAACUUUUAAGAUAAAACAGUGUUCAGACUGUUUUGAUACACAUUAAAGUUGUAAAACAAAAACCAAACCUUCAGUCUGCUUUUGUCACUCAUUGCAUAAAGAAAUGAGACUUUAUUGCCCAACACAUCUUUGAUACACAUGCAUGCUUCUAUGAUUUGCUGUUAUAUGAUGCAGUGGGUGUAUACAUGAGAGUGAAGUUUCUGCAGAUUGUGUGAACAGGCCUCAGUUGUAAGCAUUCUAUCUGGUGUUUGGUAGUUUAAGCAGUUUAAACACAUACUGCUAAGACUGCUGCUGUGCUUACUGUAGAUAAUAUACACUAAUACUGUGUACUGUAUUAGGCCCUAAUACCCCAACAGCAAGAAAAGCAAGUGUUCAAAUUAGGGCAAAUGCAACUGUUUCUGUAGCUUGUUCAGUCUUGAAACUUGGCCUCAAGGUCUGAUGGGGAUACUGUAUAAUCUGUUUCUGCAGCAGCAGCAUUUGUUUAGCUAAUUGUAUGUGUCUUCUCUAAAUAGUGGUUCAAAUAGGAACUGAUUUCCAGAUGGGAAGAAAGAGAAAAAGAUCCUCUGUGGCUUGAUAGCUGUCUUUCUUGUAGGUGGUAAAGAGUAAAGAAGGCAGAUGUUGCUGACCGUUUUGCCCACUUGGUGUCACCAAGUGAAAGAUUCUAAUGUACUUCAGAGCGUAUGUAGAAAGGAGGUCCCUUUGGAGGAUGAUGAGCUCAGGUUUGCUCAGGUGAACUCUUAUUCAACUCUAGCCCACAACAACAGCAGAUGAAAUGUUUUACAUCUCUUCUGCCUCCUUCAGAUAACCUUGAGAUGGUCUGCCAGCAUUCCCAUGAAGCUGUGUCAUCUCCAUGCUACAGAGGAAGAAUUUGAGGAUCAUAGAGUGAAAGGGAAGGGCUUAGUAAGGUGUUGCUAACACACUUUUGCUUAAGUGUAUUAAAUCAAGUAUGUGUGCUACUUUCAGCUGUAGCAGCAAAUAAAUAAAAUCUUUAUGCUGAGUGCUCCUUGGGAUGGGAAAUAUGCAGGGAACCUGCUGUGAAGAUGAUGAGAAUUGUCUCAAAGCCAGAUACAAACCUGCAGCUAUGAGAUGCCACGGUGAUUUUAGAAAAUAAUGGAAAGUCUCUGAACCAAAGAUGGAUUUAAAGUGUGUCCAGUCACCUUGCUAAGCCAGCCUGUGUGCUUCUGUAGCAGCACCUCUGCAGGGCUGCUCCAUGUUUGCAGAAGGCAGUGCAGAGCCUGUGUGUCAGUGCUGUGCUGUUUGCUAACCCAAACAUCAAGGAAAAGGGUUUCAAAGCUGCUGCCUUUAAGCUUCAAAAAGGUCUUUGGAGAUGACAGCAGCGCUGUGUCACUUGGCAGCGUGUCAGCAGCUGAAGGGGAGGAAAAAGUUGGCUUUGGGGGCAGAGAGCAGCAGAAAAUGGCAACAGCUACACCAUAAUUGGGGAACAUCUGCCCUCCCCUUGGCACAUCCAGAAGCACUGCUAUGGGGAGUGAGCAGCAAGGGUCGGUUCACAGAGGGUAUUAUUGCAGAACUGCAAAUAGAAUUUCCCCCCUGCAACCUCUGACAAUCUGGUCUUGAGGACAGCAGGGAGCUGUGAGGAGUGGCACAACCUGAGUUGGAGAUUGGAAAACCUCAUUAAAAGCCAGGAGGCUUUCAACAGGGCUUGAGCUUGGUGCUGCCACAGCUGGUGCUCGUUGGGGCCCCAGGUGAGGCUGUGCCCCUCCUCCUCGUUUUAAACACAUGCCCCCAUUUAAUGCUCCUCAAAAACAGCAGCUUGAGCACAAGGCAGAGUUCUUCCUUCUUUCUUUAAUGCAAUUCAGUGGUCUAUAAAAAAAGAAGUGCUACAAUGUUUAUUAUCUAAUCUGCCCUGCUGAGUGGUAGGAUCAAGCAGCAAGGUGGGCAGUGCUGGCAGCUUUGGCAUUCAGGUGGAGCAGCAGCAGCACAGGUCAAACUUGGCAGAGGAAGAAGAGUUGGUGCCAAUCUCUGUUGUGAAGACAAAAUGCAGGUAGGAAAAAUGGUGACUUCCCAGAGAAUGUGGUGUCUGAUUCCACCUUUUGGGUUUUCCUAGCAGUGAAGGAGGGAGGAGGAAGCAUCAAUGGGCUGCAGAUGGUGUGUGGGAUUGCAGGAGGAGCUCCUUGUGAGGGGCAGCUUGGGUUUUGGAAGAAGGUUUGGUGGGCUGGGAGGGAGGGGGAAUAGAACUGAUGAGCUGGAAGGGCACAUGGGUUGAAAUACAAGGCUCUUGAGCAGGGUCUGCUGUGAUAGGACAAGGGGAAAUGGUUUCCAACUAAGAGAGGAGAUUUAGAUUGGAUUUAAGGAAGAAGUUGUUUACGAUGAGGGUGAUGAGGUGCUGCACAGGGUGGUGGUGGUGCCCAUCCCUGCAGACCCCCAGGGUCAGGCUGGAGGGGCUCUGAGCCCCUGGUGGAGCUGUGGGAGUCCCUGUGCACUGCAGGGAGUGGGACCAGAUGGCCUGUGGGGGUCCCUUCCAAUUCCAACCAUUCUGUGAGAAGGUAGUAAAGACUUCUGUACCCAGAAAUACACAAAAUAUCUCAUGUUCUGUUGUACCUGCUUCAGAAAUACCCUUCAGAAACACUGGGACCUCGUUUUCUAUCUGGUAUCACAGAGUGCUUGAAUUCUGCAUAUAGUCAUCAGAGAAUUCUGCUUUAAUCCCAUUUAUGUCAGCUGUGUUGAAUGUGCUGAUGCUGACACCAGGCUCAUGUUGGACGUGUGCAGUUUAAUGUUUUAGUGGGAAUGGGUGGACAGUUGGAUUUGAUGAUCUUAAUUGCCUCAAUGUGCAGGGAGCACAGCUCAUGCCUUCCAUCUCUCCCUUGGGAGUGCAGUUGGAAGCCUGAUGCUGUCUCUGCAUGGCAGCAGGGCAGACCUUGAGAUGGAGCCCAUUCUUUGCUGAGCAUUGCGAUGCUGUAAGCUAUCCCUCUGCUAUUUUUCCUGGCUGAACACCCCCUGAUUUUACAGUAAUUUUUGCAUGUUGUCUGGAAAAUGCCUACCAGCCAGUUGGAUUGGAGCAUGCUUGCAAAAGCCCCUCUUGCUCUUUGUCCAUCUUGAGCAAAAACCUGAACAUAGCUGUCAGGUCUGCCUGGCAAAUGGGCCAGCAAAAGGCACAAUGUGGAACAGAAAGCUGAAAUGUUGCAUUUUCACCUUCAGCUCUGUGAGAAGCAGUUUCCAGCCUGUGUGUUGGAGGGGAGCUCUGAGCUUGCAAUGAAGCACAGCUUCCCCCAGAGUGCUUGGAAAAUUACUUACCCUUUGUAUUUGUAAUUUAAGAAGCAUCUGUGUGCAGUGGAGAAGGUGAAAAAGAAAAAAGUGAAGUUCUAUUGGAAAGCUAUGCGUGAAGGCAGCUCUAAGGUGGAUGCCCUUUCAUUUUGUGUUAUUUUUUGCCUGUAAUUCUCUGCACAGAGUUCAACAGGAGUUUGUUAGGGAAGAGCUGGAUUAGCACAUUCCUGAGCAUGGUGCUCAGAUGGGUUCUUUGCUGCUGCUUUAUGUUUCAUUUGUAUAAAAACUGCAGGUCUUGCCAGGAGUAGAGGUGGCUGCAAAAGAGGAAAAGGGAGGCUCAUUCCUGUGUUUUACACCUGGAUUUGUUUCUCAGUUUCAUUAAGGCCCCCGUCCCUCCCUUAUGUUGUGGUAUUGCAUAUAACCAGACUGGGUCACUGCAUGUGUCCCAGCUAUUGACACAGAGGUGCUGUGUUACAAUGCUCUGAGGUCUCAGUGUGGCUCUGAUUUCCACACAUAGGGAGCAACAGGGCGACUAGACAGCCAUGCUUGCAACCCGUUGCUUGGCUAAAUCCACCAAAUGCAGCUUAGAAAGGCCUUCCUGGGGGCUGCUGUGUAGACUCCACUGGUUUAUUUUCUUCCCCUGGCAUGGAGAAGACCUGGAAGCCGCCGGGUGCUUCUCUCUGGGCUGCUGGAAGCAUGGAUUUUUGGCUGAAGACCACGCAGGGCAACUCCACAGGGUGGGGGAACCCUGCAGGAGGCUGCUGAUGAGUAACAAAAGCAGUUUGUGUUUAUUGCAAAGCAGAACAGUUUAAUAACUUCCAGCAGAGAUGGCUUUGCAGAUGCUCACCAGACAUGAAAUGAGAGAUCUGGAGUGCCUGUCUUGUUAUUGAUAAUCCCUAUAAGGAGCAGAAUGGCUUUUCCUAGGAUGUCAGGAGUUGGUUUCUGAGCUUUGGUGCAGGAACAGCAACUCCAAGCCUGAUGUGCUUCAGAUGCAUUUAGUGCUGGUGGAGCAUGCCAUGAUCUUUGUCUGCCAAGGGCAAUUGCUGUUUUCCACCUGGGCACUGCAUCUCAUGUGCUGCUGCAAGAUCCAGAGUUGUCCCUUCCUAGUACAACUUGCUGGGGCUGUUUGUAAGCAUCUCCUGCAGGAGAGCCCUGCUCCUGGCCAAGACCUGUAGCAUUACCACAGCAUGAGAGACCGAGUAUUUUGGGUUGUAGUCUUAGCAGAAUGGAAGUGUCGCAACUGGGAGGAAUGUUUGCUCAUUAGAAUGCAGGAGAUGAUGGAUGGCAAUGGGAGGAUGGCCUCAUUCAUCCACCCCUGCUCACAGAAGCUGAUCCUUCCUGCUGCUCCAUAUCUGCCAUGUGGGUCCUGCAGUGUUCUUAUUGCUCCACCAAGGAAAGUGAUUCCAGUGAGGGCUGUGCACCACUGGUGCUGCUCAGUGCUUUGUGUAUCACCCAGGUGACCCUUAAGGGAUAACACUUCAUUACUUCUCCAGCUGCUGCUCUGUACAUUUUCCCCUAUCAGCUGAGCUCCAGCAGCUGUGCUACCUCCACAAGCAGCACUAAACACUGCUGUGAGCUGCCAGUAAAUAAUGCAGCAGAUUCCUCUCACCAGCACUUUUCCUCUUGCUAAUAAGGAGAAAAAUGUCGGAUCCCAGGCACCGUGGCAUUGCAGCUGCAAUCUUUAACAUAACCUCUUCCAGGAGCUGAUGUUCCUUGUGAUAACCACGGUAUCACUGUAGCAUUUGUUAUGACUGAGCUGCAGCCCCCAAAAUCCUAAAUAAUUGAAUAGAAUCAUACAAUAUCCUAAGUUGGAAGGGACCCAUAGGGAUCAUUGAGUCCAACUCCUGGCUCUGGGUUGGACCACCCAAAAAUCAUACCAAAAAUCAGUGUUUCCCAUUGGCUGCACUCUGCAGGUAGCUCACCAGACAUGUGUGCCAUGUGUAGAAACCUUGCACUGUCCCCAGAGAAGCAUGUUUCAUGCUCCCAAGCAGCAUAUUUUCCUGCUAAUGUGUAUGCACAUCCUGCUGUACGCUCUUGAGGCCACAAAGUACCAAUAUAAGCAAAAAAAACAACCCAUACCCACCACCUCCUCUGCUUUAAUUUCUAUUGGGUUUCUCUCUGGAGUGCUUGGGAGGGAAUAAAAGAAAUGUAUUACAAACUGCUUUUUGCUGAGAUAAAGAGCAGAGCUGCAGCAGAGAACCCCUUCUUUUGCAAGUGCUGGCAAAUCCUCUGCUCAGUGCAUCACGCUGGAGAGGUUACAGGUUUGUUAGUUUUCAUCAUUCUGUGAGUACUGCUAAUAAGGUCAAUCAGUCUCCAUGGCAAUAGCAGCUGGAGGUGAGACAGUGCUAGUUAAUGGGAUGUGGGGGGUUUUGUUUUUUUGAGGGCACAAAAGCAGCCCAUGCGUGAGCAUCCUCCUCCUCCAGUGCUGAAAUGAGGUGCACUGAACUGUAGGAAGUGCUGGAACAUCAGUGCUCAAAUGCAAUAUCAAU